rnacentral:rRNA from 1 species
CCGUCUCAGUUCAGAUCGCAGUCUGCAACCCGACUGCGUGAAGUCGGAAUCGCUAGUAAUCGCGGAUCAGCAUGCCGCGGUGAAUACGUUCCCGGGCCUUGUACACACCGCCCGUCACACCAUGAGAGUCGGGAACACCCGAAGUCCGUAGUCUAACCCGCAAGGGAGGGCGCGGCCGAAGGUGGGUCCGGUAAUUGGGGUGAAGUCGUAACAAGGUAAC